GGCUUAAUACAUGCAAGUCGUGGGGCAGCGCAGUGUAGCAAUACAUGGGCGGCGACCGGCAAACGGGUGCGGAACACGUACGCAACCUUCCUUUGAGUGGGGGAUAGCCCAGGGAAACUUGGAUUAAUACCCCGUAAUACUAUGAAGUGGCAUCACUUUAUAAUUAUAGCUCCGGCGCUUAAAGAUGGGCGUGCGCCUGAUUAGGUAGUUGGCGGGGUAACGGCCCACCAAGCCUUCGAUCAGUAACUGGUGUGAGAGCACGACCAGUCACACGGGCACUGAGACACGGGCCCGACUCCUACGGGAGGCAGCAGUAAGGAAUAUUGGUCAAUGGACGCAAGUCUAAACCAGCCAUGCCGCGUGGAGGAUGAAGGUCCUCUGGAUUGUAAACUUC
rnacentral:rRNA from 1 species